CCUACGGGAGGCAGCAGUCGAGAAUCACUCACAAUGGGGGAAACCCUGAUGGUGCGACGCCGCGUGGGGGAAUGAAGGUCUUCGGAUUGUAAACCCCUGUCGUGUGGGAGCAAAUUAAAAAGAUAGUACCACAAGAGGAAGAGACGGCUAACUCUGUGCCAGCAGCAGAGGUAAUACAGAGGUCUCAAGCGUUGUUCGGAAUCACUGGGCGUAAAGCGUGCGUAGGCUGUUUCGUAAGUCGUGUGUGAAAGGCGCGGGCUCAACCCGCGGACGGCACAUGAUACUGCGAGACUAGAGUAAUGGAGGGGGAACCGGAAUUCUCGGUGUAGCAGUGAAAUGCGUAGAUAUCGAGAGGAACACUCGUGGCGAAGGCGGGUUCCUGGACAUUAACUGACGCUGAGGCACGAAGGCCAGGGGAGCGAAAGGGAUUAGAUACCCGGGUAGUC
rnacentral:rRNA from 1 species